ACAAAGGCUCUUUUAAGAGCCACAAACACACUGAAGAGCAACGAU
rfam:Xiphophorus maculatus strain JP 163 A Contig15991.1, whole genome shotgun sequence.